GGUUGAGGAGCCGUCACGUGACUCCUCAACGACGACGGUGACGCUCUGACGUAAGCGUCACGCAGCCAAGGCCGACCCACGAAGGUGGCUUCUGCGCAUGCUCGAUAUACUCUUCUAAUAAAGCGCCUCGUGGGGAGAGGACGAGCCUCUUAAAGCCGAAACACGCUCGAGAUGCCCUUACAAUAAAGCGCCUCAUAGGAGAGGACUGGAGGCUCUUAUGGCCGACCAAUGCUUCUGCGCAUGCUCGAGGUGUCCUUAUAAUAAAGAGAGGCGGGAUUAGCCAGCUUCUAGCAAGAGUAUUGUGGCGCAGUGGUUUGAGUGCUGGGCUACGACUCUGGAGACCUGGGUGCGAUUCCCAGCUCUGGACAUUCUCUCAGCCUCAAUGGGAAGGCAGUGGCAAAACCCCUCGGAACAAAUCUUGACAAGAAAGACCCAUAAGUUGCCAAUGACUUCAAACCACACAACACCAAAAGGCGGAAGGGGCAUUUAUUAGGGGGAGUCAGAGAAUCUGAAGCUAAGCAGGGUCAGCCCUGGUUGGUACUUGGAUGGGAGGCCGCCAACAAACUCCCCCAGGUGCUGUAGGUUAUGUUUCAGAGGAAGGAACUGGCAAAAGCAACUCUUGAGGGACUUUUUUGUCAUCCUCAUGUCAAGCAGUACCUCCUGAAAUCUCUUUUGCACGACCAUCUGGGAGCCCUAGUGUGCAGUGAUUUAAUUCCUCCUCAUUCAGAUCCCAGCUUGAAAGCUAAGCUGGUUCAGCCGUGGUUAGUACUUGGAUGGUAAACUGCCAACACAUAUUGAGUGCUGUGAGCUAUAUUUCAGAGGAAGGAACUGGCAAAAACGCCUCUUGAGUACAGUAUUCUUUGCCUAAGAAAAUGCUAUGAAAUUCAUGGGGUCACCGUAAUUUAAGAGCAGGCUUGAAGGUGUGUGCAUGCGCUCACUCAUGCUCAGCUCAGGGGAAGGAGCUCAUGCCAGAAGAAUAGAAAUGGUUGGGUUGGAAGGAGCCACAAAGACUAUCAUCUACUCCAACCCCCUGCAAUGCAAGAAAUUGUUUUUACAGAUGUCUUUACCCCAAGGAUGAGGAUUUUUUUUGGCUUCCAGUUGUUUCCAAUGAGGUGAAAUCUCACUUUUCCCGGUCAAUGAUGAAGGCAUGUGGGAGUUGUAGUCCAAAAUGUCUGGAGGGCCAGAUGUCCUCAGCCAGUGCCAGAACCAAGUAGCAGAUCUUAGUGUACUUGGACUUCCAGGCAAUCUUCCCAAAUAUGUACCUGUGAGGGUGGAGGGAUAGAGCCAAGAGCCACCCCAGAAGAUCUCAAAACACAAGCAGACUCAUAUGGGACAACACAGCCCUUCAAAUAACCUGAACCCAAGCCAUAGCAUCUGGAGGGCUGCAUAGUUCCUAUCCCUGCCCCAAUUAAGCAAAGCACAAUAACACAGAUGAAAUGUCUUUGCAGAGGGAGAACAUCGUGGCACACCAGGGACUGGUGAGGAAGAGGAAGUGCCAAAACUCAUCCAAACAGGACUCAAGCCUCCCUCCUUUGAGAGAAGACAACUUUGCUUCUACCGGAGAACCUGCGGCAAAGAUAGCUCCCUGCAUCUCCUGUCAGAGAAGUCUUUGCUGUCAAAAUGUAGUCUCUACAAUGGUAGCCUUGCUUUUCUAGGUGAAGAGUCCCAGUGUGAUUGCUUUCUGGGAUAAAACUUGCUGCUACUCCUGAUAAUUCAGCAGUCUAAAUUCAGUUACAAUGUUACAUGCUGACACUCUGCUGACACUUUCCGCCAAUAAA